CAGAGCUCUCGGAGAUCAACAAAGGUGCCGCUUUUGAAUGUGAAAGUUUUUUCAAGACUUUUCUAUUUCUUGGUUUGAAUCGUGUGCCUGUAGGGACACAUGCUACCUGCUUACUGGACAGUGACUACUUAGGAUAAGGACUCAGGCAAACACACAAGUGGAGAAGAUAAAUAGUAAUUUGGAACCAAAACUCAGGACGUCCCAGGAGAGGCUAGAUUAGGAAUUCUUUGAUUUGGGAUCACGAAAAUGAAGUAUCCAUAUUUUAACAGAAUGAUUAGUGGCAGAGGAAUCAUCUAAGAAAACUGAGAAGACUCUGCCAGAGUGAUGGGAAGAAAACUAGAUGAGAAAGCACCAUUCUGGAAGACAUGCUCCCAUGAACCAUGGAGAGAAGAGGAGAGGGAAGGUG
rnacentral:lncRNA from 1 species